rnacentral:rRNA from 1 species
UUGGAGAGUUUGAUCCUGCCUCAGGAUGAUGACGCUGGCGGCGUGCCUAAUACAUGCAAGUCGAGCGAACAGACGAGGAGCUUGCUCCUCUGACGUUAGCGGCGGACGGGUGAGUAACACGUGGAUAACCUACCUAUAAGACUGGGAUAACUUCGGGAAACCGGAGCUAAUACCGGAUAACAUGUUGAACCGCAUGGUUCAACAGUGAAAGACGGUCUUGCUGUCACUUAUAGAUGGAUCCGCGCCGCAUUAGCUAGUUGGUAAGGUAACGGCUUACCAAGGCAACGAUGCGUAGCCGACCUGAGAGGGUGAUCGGCCACACUGGAACUGAGACACGGUCCAGACUCCUACGGGAGGCAGCAGUAGGGAAUCUUCCGCAAUGGGCGAAAGCCUGACGGAGCAACGCCGCGUGAGUGAAGAAGGUCUUCGGAUCGUAAAACUCUGUUAUUAGGGAAGAACAAAUGUGUAAGUAACUAUGCACGUCUUGACGGUACCUAAUCAGAAAGCCACGGCUAACUACGAUGCCAGCAGCCGCGGUAAUA